rnacentral:rRNA from 1 species
UACGUAGGGGGCUAGCGUUGUCCGGAAUCAUUGGGCGUAAAGAGCGUGUAGGCGGCCAGGUAGGUCCGUUGUGAAAACUCGAGGCUCAACUUCGAGCUGUCGGUGGAAACUUUCUGGCUAGAGUCCGGAAGAGGAGAAUGGAAUUCCUGGUGUAGCGGUGAAAUGCGCAGAUAUCAGGAAGAACACCCGUGGCGAAGGCGGUUCUCUGGGACGGUACUGACGCUGAGACGCGAAAGCGUGGGGAGCGAACAGG